UACGUAGGGGGGCAAGCGUUGUCCGGAAUCAUUGGGCGUAAAGCGCGCGUAGGCGGCCCUGUAAGUCCGCUGUGAAAGUCAAAGGCUCAACCUUUGAAAGCCGGUGGAUACUGCAGGGCUAGAGUCCGGAAGAGGCGAGUGGAAUUCCUGGUGUAGCGGUGGAAUGCGCAGAUAUCAGGAGGAACACCAAUAGCGAAGGCAGCUCGCUGGGACGGUACUGACGCUAAGGCGCGAAAGCGUGGGGAGCGAACGAGG
rnacentral:rRNA from 1 species